rnacentral:rRNA from 1 species
CGUAGGUGGCAAGCGUUGUCCGGAAUUAUUGGGCGUAAAGCGCGCGCAGGUGGGAUAUUAAGUCUGGUGUUAAAGUUCGGGGCUCAACCCCGUGAAGCAUUUGGAAACUGAUAUUCUUGAGUGCAGGAGAGGAAAGUGGAAUUCCUAGUGUAGCGGUGAAAUGCGUAGAUAUUAGGAGGAACACCAGUGGCGAAGGCGACUUUCUGGACUGUGUCUGACACUGAGGCGCGAAAGCUAGGGUAGUGAACAGGAUUAGAUACCCUGGUAAUCCUAGCUGUAAACGAUGGGUACUAGGUGUUGGGGGUAUCGACCCCUCCAGUGCCGGAGUUAACGCAAUAAGUACCCCGCCUGGGGAGUACGGCCGCAAGGUUG